rnacentral:rRNA from 1 species
UACGGGGGGUGCGAGCGUUGUCCGGAAUCACUGGGCGUAAAGGGUGCGUAGGCGGGUCUUUAAGUCAGGGGUGAAAUCCUGGAGCUCAACUCCAGAACUGCCUUUGAUACUGAGGAUCUUGAGUUCGGGAGAGGUGAGUGGAACUGCGAGUGUAGAGGUGAAAUUCGUAGAUAUUCGCAAGAACACCAGUGGCGAAGGCGGCCUUCUGGACCAGUACUGACGCUCAUGCACGAAAGCGUGGGGAGCAAACAGG